rnacentral:rRNA from 1 species
AUUGAACGCUGGCGGCAGGCCUAACACAUGCAAGUCGAGCGGUAGCACAAGGGAGCUUGCUCCCCGGGUGACGAGCGGCGGACGGGUGAGUAAUGUCUGGGAAACUGCCUGAUGGCGGGGGAUAACUACUGGAAACGGUAGCUAAUACCGCAUAACGUCGCAAGACCAAAGUGGGGGACCUUCGGGCCUCACGCCAUCGGAUUUGCCCAGACGGGAUUAGCUAGCAGGUGGGGUAACGGCUCACCUAGGCGACGAUCCCUAGCUGGUCUGAGAGGAUGACCAGCCACACUGGAACUGAGACACGGUCCAGACUCCUACGGGAGGCAGCAGUGGGGAAUAUUGCACAAUGGGCGCAAGCCUGAUGCAGCCAUGCCGCGUGUGUGAAGAAGGCCUUCGGGUUGUAAAGCACUUUCAGCGAGGAGGAAGGCGUUAAGGUUACUAACCUUGACGAUUGACGUUACUCGCAGAAGAAGCACCGGCUAACUCCGUGCCAGCCGCCGCAGUAA